rnacentral:lncRNA from 1 species
GUUCCCACCUCUCCACCGCUCCCUGAGGUCUCACGCAGAGCUCCAACCCACUUCGGCUUGGAUUUUCCACUCUCGCGGUGCCUGCAGCCUCCUGAGUGCUGGAAUCACAGGCGCAUGCCACUGUGCCCAGUGAAGCAUAACUGAUACACAGUAAAAACAGUGCGAAUCUCAUGUCCAAUGCAUAGAGUUUAUGUGUCUGAUAUUUGCACAUCCCCAUGUCCCUCAGACUUUGCAAUGUGAAAAGCCUGAGUCUACAUCCUCGUUCCUUCUGGCCCAGUGGUGUGAACCUUUUAGAGGGGUGAGUUUUUCUUACCCCACUUCUUGGCAGGGAUCACAAGCCCAGGAAUGUUGGAAGAGGCAGGAAAGCUGACUCUGGCCUGGAGGAAGAGGGCAGCCCUGCCCACACCACGUUUUACUGGCCUUUCAGCCUGUAAGCAUUAAGAAAUGAACAUAUAUAUUUCUUUUUUACUGAUUGUUUUUCUUUGAAGAAUUGCUUUCCUUCUUUCUUUUUUUUUAUCAUUUGUUGAAUUGACC